CUACGUGCCAGCAGCCGCGGUAAUACGUAGGGUGCGAGCGUUAAUCGGAAUUACUGGGCGUAAAGCGAGCGCAGACGGUUACUUAAGCAGGAUGUGAAAUCCCCGGGCUCAACCUGGGAACUGCGUUCUGAACUGGGUGACUAGAGUGUGUCAGAGGGAGGUAGAAUUCCACGUGUAGCAGUGAAAUGCGUAGAGAUGUGGAGGAAUACCGAUGGCGAAGGCAGCCUCCUGGGAUAACACUGACGUUCAUGCUCGAAAGCGUGGGUAGCAAGCAGGAUUAGAUACCCUGGUAGUCCACGCCCUAAACGAUGUCAAUUAGCUGUUGGGCAACUUGAUUGCUUAGUAGCGUAGCUAACGCGUGAAAUUGACCGCCUGGGGAGUACGGUCGCAAGAUUAAAACUCAAAGGAAUUGACGGGGACCCGCACAAGCGGUGGAUGAUGUGGAUUAAUUCGAUGCAACGCGAAGAACCUUACCUGGUCUUGACAU
rnacentral:rRNA from 1 species